UACGUAGGUGGCAAGCGUUGUCCGGAAUUAUUGGGCGUAAAGCGCGCGCAGGCGGCUUCUUAAGUCCAUCUUAAAAGUGCGGGGCUUAACCCCGUGAUGGGAUGGAAACUGGGAGGCUGGAGUAUCGGAGAGGAAAGCGGAAUUCCUAGUGUAGCGGUGAAAUGCGUAGAGAUUAGGAAGAACACCGGUGGCGAAGGCGACUUUCUGGACGACAACUGACGCUGAGGCGCGAAAGCGUGGGGAGCAAACAGG
rnacentral:rRNA from 1 species